GGCAGUUCUCAGGUGACACACCACAGAAUUGGGCUCCCUCCUCUCUGGUUCCAGGGUGUGUCAUCUGAGAACCACC
rfam:Myotis lucifugus cont2.26019, whole genome shotgun sequence.